CACGUAGGGCGCAAGCGUUGUCCGGAAUUAUUGGGCGUAAAGAGCUCGUAGGCGGACUGUCACGUCUGCUGUGAAAAGCUGGGGCUUAACCCUGGCCUUGCAGUGGAUACGGGCAGACUAGAGGUAGGUAGGGGAGAAUGGAAUUCCCGGUGUAGCGGUGAAAUGCGCAGAUAUCAGGAGGAACACCGGUGGCGAAGGCGGUUCUCUGGGCCUGUACUGACGCUGAGGAGCGAAAGCGUGGGGAGCGAACAGG
rnacentral:rRNA from 1 species